rnacentral:rRNA from 1 species
GGAGUUAGCCGGUGCUUCUUCUGUGAGUGAUGUCCUUCCUGCCGGUUAUUGACCCGCAGGCCUUCUUCCUCACUGAAAGUGCUUUACAACCCGAAGGCCUUCUUCACACACGCGGCAUGGCUGGAUCAGGGUUGCCCCCAUUGUCCAAUAUUCCCCACUGCUGCCUCCCGUAGGAGUCUGGGCCGUGUCUCAGUCCCAGUGUGGCUGAUCAUCCUCUCAGACCAGCUACGGAUCGUCGCCUUGGUGAGCCGUUACCUCACCAACCAGCUAAUCCGACAUAGGCUCAUCCGAUAGCGCGAGGCCCGAAGGUCCCCCGCUUUCCCCCGUAGGGCGUAUGCGGUAUUAGCCUGGGUUUCCCCAGGUUAUCCCCCACUACCGGGCAGAUUCCUAUGCAUUACUCACCCGUCCGCCGCUCGCCACCAGGGAGCAAGCUCCCCGUGCUGCCGCUCGACUUGCAUGUGUUAGGCCUGACGCCAGCGUUCAAUCUGAGCCAGAAUCAAACUCUGA